rnacentral:rRNA from 1 species
GACGAACGCUGGCGGCGUGCUUAACACGUGCAAGUCGAACGGAAAGGCCCUGCUUUUGUGGGGUGCUCGAGUGGCGAACGGGUGAGUAACACGUGAGUAACCUGCCCUUGACUUUGGGAUAACUUCAGGAAACUGGGGCUAAUACCGGAUAGGAGCUCCUGCUGCAUGGUGGGGGUUGGAAAGUUUCGGCGGUUGGGGAUGAACUCGCGGCUUAUCAGCUUGUUGGUGGGGUAGUGGCUUACCAAGGCUUUGACGGGUAGCCGGCCUGAGAGGGUGACCGGCCACAUUGGGACUGAGAUACGGCCCAGACUCCUACGGGAGGCAGCAGUGGGGAAUAUUGCACAAUGGGCGGAAGCCUGAUGCAGCAACGCCGCGUGCGGGAUGACGGCCUUCGGGUUGUAAACCGCUUUCGCCUGUGACGAAGCGUGAGUGACGGUAAUGGGUAAAGAAGCACCGGCUAACUACGUG